rnacentral:rRNA from 1 species
CCUACGGGGUGCUGCAGUGAGGAAUAUUGGUCAAUGGGCGGAAGCCUGAACCAGCCAAGUAGCGUGCAGGAUGACGGCCCUACGGGUUGUAAACUGCUUUUAUACGGGAAUAACGCGCCUUACGUGUAGGGCUUUGCAUGUACCGUAUGAAUAAGGACCGGCUAAUUCCGUGCCAGCAGCCGCGGUAAUACGGAAGGUCCGGGCGUUAUCCGGAUUUAUUGGGUUUAAAGGGAGCGUAGGCCGCAUGUCAAGCGUGCUGUGAAAUGUCCGGGCUCAACCCGGGCCUUGCAGCGCGAACUGGCGUGCUUGAGUGCGCGAGAAGUAUGCGGAAUGCGUGGUGUAGCGGUGAAAUGCAUAGAUAUCACGCAGAACUCCGAUUGCGAAGGCAGCAUACCGGCGCGCAACUGACGCUCAUGCACGAAAGCGUGGGUAUCGAACAGGAUUAGAUACCCGGGUAGUC